GAUGGUCUUGUCUCUUCCCAAACAGUAACAAGGCAAUGACCACCGCCCAUCCUCAUCCCCAUCCCGGUCCCCAUCCCCUCGCGUCCUUAGCGGAGAUGGAGGUGGUGUUCGACGACGGCGGCGGCGUUGGAGGAGGGACAACGAGGGCUUGGCAGGCCGCGGAGCCGGACGCCGUGGUGGAUGUGUACUCAGCAGCAGCAGAUUUUGAAGGAUUAAGAAGUGCAGCAAGAGGAUGUCUAGCUGGAUUAGGCAUAAAAGAAUUCCUUCUGUAAUCCCCGAGGACUCUGCCAUUGUAGACUUCAAGGAGGAGAUCAUGGUUGCCAACAGAAAGGCCACAAGUGGGAGAGAGUUGCCGAAAGAAGAUACACACAUCAUGACCAGUGAAACCAAGCAUUAUAGUCGUAAGGAAUUUUGCACUGAUAAGAAGGACAAUAAGAGCAGCAGUGGUGAUAAAAAGGAAAGUAACAAUAAGGAGGGGGUCAAGGAGACUGGCGAAAAGUAAUCUUGUAAGUGAGGACAUAGGAGGGAAAAUAAACAAUGUCCUCUGCGUCUAGUGAUAUACUAAAUAAAGGUGUGUGUGUGUGCACUCAUGCUAGUCCUCAUGGUUCGUGCGCGAACUGAAUAAAGUGUCACCGUUGCAACUGUGUUAUAUGUCUAUCUAUCAUGCAAUAUGAUAUAAUGUCAUUGUGCCCUCAAGCCUCUCGAGACUUAUUUUUGUUUAUACAAAAGAUAUUUUAGUAACUCUCGCUCUCUCCCCUUCCCCCAACCAAAUCCUCUCUCUUUCUCUCUCCAUGGCGGCUGGCUGUUUGAGCCCAUUCCUGGUCAGAUCUGGCCAUGUUUUGGGUGAGUGCGUGGCUGCCCACGCACAUGUUUUGGGUCUUGCUCCUACGCAUCCGUGGCAAGUGGUGUGAUUUGGCGCUUCGGUGUGGCUUGUUGCAAUGAAGUUUGAGCUACCAUCGCAUUGGGCUCAACGAGUGUAUUGAAUUAACUAUAUCGUAGGGGCACACCCUGAAGCUCCAUGACUCAUGAGAUGUCGUGUUCGAGGAGGAGCGACAAUGGGAUUGGGCGACAACAUCAUCUGUGUUUGGCCCUAGCGGCAAUGACACUUUCAUCAUCGAGUACACAAUGGAGGGCAACACCGACGUUGCGUUGACAACUGUAGGGGCAAGUUCACUUGCAGUGUAGGCAGAGCCACCCUCGCCGACAACACUGGCCAGAGCUGCACCAGAAGUAGUGUGGGUGACACCGUCCAACAACAAGUCGUUCAAUUCUGAGGGGGUGUCACUUUGGUAUCGCAAGGUGGAGAACAUCUUCGGCAUGACUAUCAAUUUGACCUCGAUGGCUCGGAGUACAAUGACAUGUGCCUCAUUGCUACCAAAGAAUCUACAAGAAUCAAGUAGGCCAUGGCGGAUAGCUCCUGGAAAUGUGCCAUGGAUGAAGAGAUGAGGUCCAUCCACAACAACACACCUGGGAGCUCGCUGCUCUCUAUGCUGGACAUUGGGCUCUCCAUGCUAGUCACACCUGGGAUCUAUUGGGCUCAAGUGGUUUUCAGGGUCAAGAAAGAUCUACAAGCUUACAUUGAAAAGCGUAAAGCACGUUUGGUUGCAUUGAACAAUCCAUUAAACGAUUGAUGAAAGAUCCAUAAGGUAACAAGUGGGGUUUCAUUGAUGCAUUGAACAAUUGAUGAAAGAUGCAUAAAGAGAUCAUAAACCAAAUCUAUGAGUAUAGCCAGAUUAAGCAUAAAAACAUGAUCUCAAUAGUUACUAGUUGUAGUUCUAGCCAAAGAUGAUAUUGCCUAAGUUAAGCUUACCUUCCUUAAAUCUAUCACCCCCCUCUUUUACGAUACCGUAGAUCACACCCUCACCGAUUGCUACUGUCACGAGGACAGCUAAUCACUACACCCUACGGUAAUAUAAACUUAAGUAAAUGGUAUUGAUCCAUGAAAAGCCUCGAACUGAUAUUAGUCUAUCCAGUAGAGACUAGAGUCACUUAUACUUAACCUAUAUCCUAGUUAACAUGAUAGUUUGACGAACAAACCUAAUCACCACAAUCAUAUCUACAUGCUACUUGUCUAGCCCAAAACUAAACGAGGGAUAAAGCAUAAUCAUGCAAACCAAGCAUCAAGAGAGAACAAGAUUACUAAUCAUACUUCAACAAACGACAAAUCAAUCUUCAUAAAGAUAGUUGAUACAAACACAAUCAUGGACAUACCUUGACGUCGAUUGAAUCUUGGCUCUUGAACUUUUGAUCUAAUUAGGACCUUGACUAAAUAGAGCCUAAUUAGAUUGUCCUAUGAUUAUAGGGCUCUAAUACAACGCUAAUUACUAGGCUAUAAUUAAACCAAUUAGACUAACCUAAAUUAAUAUAGAUAACUCGACAACUAAACUUGAAGCAGGGGCAAGAUUUCAUUGAUAUUGGCUCUAAACUUGAGAUUGGAUCAUUGGGGCAUUAAGAGCUUCUGUUUAUAUAGGGGCUUGAAGACCAUGGCACGCACCUUGAGGCGAUUGGAGUUAGUGUAGCGCGACACUAGGGCUUGGUGUCAAGCGACACUCGGCCUUGGUUUGCGGGCCACCGUCGGUCUUCACGUAUGUUGGUGCUAGUCCUUCUAGAAGUCUUCAUGUGCCUUCCAUGUGGGUCCAUUACACCAAAUCUUCUCGGAAUAGACUCUGGAAGGAGUCUGUAUCGCCGACGAUUUCCAAAUUUCAUUUUUGUACUUUUGAAAUAUUCUUCAUGGCGACCCCUCCCACAAGUUCUCCAGAAUCUACGAUAGUGGCACACGAACCAAGAUUCUAGAGGACUUGUGCGAGGGGAAGCUCUCAGACUUGGUAGGGCCGAGAUGGGCCUUGAGUGUCGUGCGGCACCAUGCAGAUUAUGGGCCCCAUCUAGCCUAAUUUCUGUUGUUUGGUUGCUAAAGUUUGGGCCUUUUCAUUUGAGGCCCAAUUUAUCCUUUUUUGUCGUCUUUUUUGAUGAUUCUGCAAAUCAUUUUAAAACAACACUAUAUACGAAAAUCAUCAAGAUUAGAGGCAAUAAUCAAUAAUGAUGAUAAAACAAUAAUAUACUGAGAGAAUUUGACUCAAAUUUGGGUCGAUAACCGGCAUCAACAUAUGUCUUCUAGCCUCUUGGAUUUGAAGAUAUGAAUUAGAUAAAGAUAAGAUGUGGAAACAAGUAAUUUAUCAUAGUAUAAAACGUGUGCUCCAAAUAUCUUUUAUUGUCCUUUAAUCUUGGAAAGGAGUGUUAUGGGCAAGUAAAGCAGCUAAAAUGUCUUAUAGAUGGCUCUUGGGUAAUGGAAAAAUGAUUUGGUUUUGGGAGGAUAAUUGGCUGGGAUCAUCCGGUCUAGCUAUUAUCUUUUGGGAUAUUUACAUUAUUUGUUAAUGAAAAAAAUGCCACUAUUGCAGAACUUUGGGAUGGGUGCAAUUUAAAAUGUACAUUCUGUAGAUGUGUGGAUGAUAGGUUAAUGCUAAUGUGGCUGGAACUAUGCCAAAUAGUUAACUAUGCCAAAUAGUAAAACUGUGCAAUCACUGACACUUCUAUGGUCCAUCCAUUUUUUUAGAUAAAGGAAUAGUUCUUAUUCCGACCUCUGUAUAAAGUUAUGCACGCAGUCGUAUGGUCCAUCCAUUUGGAGGAGACCGGUAAUAAAAAGGCCCUUGAAUUCUGAAAAAGGAUGUUUGACAGGCUGAAGCUUGAUAAACAACAGAUGGGUAAUGUCUUGUGGCCUACCAAAGCUGGAUGUCUUCUCUGGCACCUUGGUUUAGGCUUAUGAUUCUUGGUCUGGGCGUCCCUUCUCCAUAUCCGGCAAUGUGGUGAGUGGCGUGGCGCCCGGUCGGGCGUGACGAUGAAGACAUUGCUAUGUUUCUAUGUAAUUUAAUUGUUUGCUAUUGUCUCUUUUAAAAUUGAUGUGACUGGAAAAGUGGUUCUGAACCUUGUUGUAGAUUUCUUCUUCUCUAGGGUGAUGCAAAACAGGGGUGUAAGCACAAUGAUGUAUUAGGGCCCCUUGUUAGGGUUUUGGUUUCUCCUAUAAAUAUUUUGGUUCUAGUUU